GAUCUGCCCGCCUCAGCCUCCCAAAGUGAGAAAGUGGCUAUUUCUAUCCUCAGUGUUCAGAAACCAGUGAGCACCAAAAAAUGGCUUAUAGCCUGACAUUU
ensembl:snoRNA